AUUAGGAGUGAGACAUGCAAAGGAUAUAUACUAUUAGUAAAACUGACAACGCGACACGACCACAAGGCCAAAAUCAAUACAAGCAUUCUAAUGAAAAAGUCAAACGACGAUCGUGGAGGAUAUUCACUAAGAUCAAAGAGAAUGUAAGGACGCGCACUACACCCAAAAAUGGAUGGACGUCGCUACUCCCAAGAAUGAAUGGACGCGCACUACUCCCUUAAUUGAUGGACGCACACCACUCACUAGAAUGGAUAAACGCGCUCUACUCCAUAGAAUGGAUGGACGCGCACUACUUCCUAGAAUGAAUGGAGGCGCAAUACACUACAAUGAAUGGACGCGCACUACUCCCUAAACUACUACAUAGAAUGUAAAGACGCACACUACUCUCUAGAAUGGAUGGACGCGCGGACCACCCUAGAAUGGAUGGACGCUCACUACACACUAGAAUGAAUGGACGCGCACUACUCACUAGAAUGAAUGGACGCGCACUACUCACUAGAAUGAAUGGACGCGCACUACUCACUAGAAUGAAUGGACGCGCACUUCUCACUAGAAUGAAUGGACGCGCACUUCUCCCUCGAAUGAAUGGACGCGCACUACACACUAGAAUGAAUGGACGCGCACUACUCACUAGAAUGAAUGGACGCGCACUUCUCCCUAGAAUUGAUGGACGCGCACUACUCACUAGAAUGAAUGGACGCGCACUUCUCCCUCGAAUGAAUGGACGCGCACUACACACUAGAAAGAAUGGACGCGCACUACUCACUAGAAUGAAUGGACGCGCACUUCUCCCUAGAAUGGAUGGACGCGCACUACACACUAGAAAGAAUAGACGCGCACUACUCACUAGAAAGAAUGGACGCGCACUACUCACUAGAAUGGAUGGACGCGCACUGCUCCCUAGAAAGUUAGGACGCCCACUACUCUCGAGGAUGGAAGGACGCGCUCUACUCUCGAGGAUGGAAGGACGCGCAUUAAUCUCCCCACCUUUGAUGGACGCCCACUACUUUCUUCCUAGAAUGAAUGGACGCGCACAGCGCUAUAGAAAAUACGUUCUCAUUAAUACUGACGAAUGGGGAUAGUAUGAUGUUAUUAAACUUAAACGUAAACAAGCUUUGCUUUCGAUACUGAAAACACAUUCUGGCUAAAAUACCCAGCGUAAGUGCGUUUAUCAUGGCUUCAUUAAAUAAAAGCUGCACCGUAUGUCAGUAGAAGUGUCAUCGCGUGUGCAUUACUUGCUCACAUGUGGCUGGUUCUCGUCCUAAGACAGGACGCGUGGCGGUCAAGUAUCAUUUAAUAUUUCCUGUUACCAAACAAGUCGAUUCCUGUGCGCUGUUUUUUGUCACCUGUUAAGGGACGCGAAACUCCAUAUGUGCUGAAAGUUUAAUAUAGCUAAACUAAAACCUCCCGGGCAUUAUCGUCCAUUAGGGACCGCGCCCUGGCUCACGAAAGGCUCACAUUCUAUUAUACAAAGUCCGGAUAGUUCGAUUGUGCUCCGGUGUCUGGUUGGAUUAGAAGGAUUUAUGCUGCCUUGACUAAGCGCUUUGGUCAAUACCCCGUGUUGCGUUGACAUACUUUGCGUAAGGCCAGUCUUACAUGUGCUUCUCAUAUGUGCGUUUCACGAGUUUGUUCGCAUUACUAGGCCCAAGGCCAUCUAGAAAUGGUUUGUCAUUAAAUUACUUAUACAUCUUACGAUGUAGUUACAUCUUAUUAUUAAUAUUCUAAUGCGAUUAAAUAUUACAUUUCUUA